UACGUAGGGUGCAAGCGUUGUCCGGAAUUAUUGGGCGUAAAGAGCUUGUAGGCGGUUUGUCGCGUCUGCUGUGAAAUUUCGGGGCUCAACCCCGAACUUGCAGUGGGUACGGGCAGACUAGAGUGUGGUAGGGGAGACUGGAAUUCCUGGUGUAGCGGUGAAAUGCGCAGAUAUCAGGAGGAACACCGAUGGCGAAGGCAGCUCGCUAGGACGGUACUGACGCUGAGACGCGAAAGCGUGGGGAGCGAACAGG
rnacentral:rRNA from 1 species